CUGCGCCUAGCUCUUCUCUUUCGGUCACACGCGUCGCACACCAUGCUUCCUUCCUUCCUCCUCUUCCUUCUUCUUCCUCUUCCUCUUCUUUUUCGUUUUCUUCUUCUUUUUCUUCUUCUUUUUUUUUCCUUCUUUUUUUUUCUUCUCCGGUAGCGCACACUGCACGAAUGAUUUUUCAGCCACGUGGGCCGCUCGCGUUGCGCCCACACUUCCUUCCUUCUUUUUUUUGUUCUUAUUCUUUUUAUUCUUUUUUUUUCUUC
rnacentral:lncRNA from 1 species